CGGCUGCAAACGAGGAGUUUGGGAUCGAGCCACACCAUCCAUCGCCAUAUCUCUUGCUCUCGAGCAUGAAGCACUGAGAUAGAUUCCACAAGCUUAGUAACUGGGAUAACAAAUUUAGUACCUUAAACGUAAGAAAAUCGAAGCUCUUGGCUCCAGGGAAAAAUGCAACAUCAUACAAGUCUGCCAACUUUUGGAAGUGAAGCCUGGCUCCAAGUACGAGUGGAAGUAUUACACGGCAAAAGAAGAGUUCUCACCUGUACAACUAUCUUGUACGAGGUUCUUCUUUGCCAUGUAUUGUUUUGAUGAUAUUCUGGACUUGGAGAAAGCCAAACCAUUCUUCUUCUUUGGUUGAGAAAUCUAGCUCCAUAUCCGGGGCAGCUUCUUUAAUACACGGCAGUGGCAUCGGUGAAUGGAAGCGAAGGGGAGCUGUGGAUGCAACACAGCAGUGUCGAGAGCCUUUGUGUCUCUUCUCAAGUGGUGCAUACAAGAGAAUAAUCUACACAAGUUCGUCGCGUGCACGGCUUUGUUUCCGCGAGGCAUCCCGGCUGCGCUGAAGACUAGUUCGUGGGAAACACGAUACUACAGGCAUAUGAUCUAGCACAUAAGGUGUUUGUGGGCAUCUGGAACAAAGAUCUAUUCUCGUGGCCGUAGCCUUACAAAGCAUACUUGACAAAAUGUUUUACUUAAUCUUCUAGAAAACAGUACAAACAAGAAGAAACAGGGCGAGAAUGGAAAAUCAGUUACUUGCUCCUACUUUGAGUCUGAAAUUGUAGGCACUGCUGCUCCCAUGACCUCAGCAGUAACUUUAAAACACAAGAGAAAAUAAUAUUUUUGUUCUUACAGUAGCAAUGCUUCUAUUGCAGUUUGGGAUCUGCUAAAGGAAAUACUGAAAUGGUCUGUCAGUCAGUGUCAUUGAGCGCACAAACCAACCAAGAUAUGUGAUGAACAUUAGAUCUGUUGCUGUGACCAAAAAAUCCUUAAAAGCGCCGCACCAGUGCCAGAAUUGUGAAUAUGAAAGCAAUGAGUGCUCCAAUUCGAGUGCCCUCCUGCACUCACAGAGAAUAAAUCAAAAGCUCUAACUCAAGCUGGAAUAGGACAUCAGAUUCAAAGAUAUACAAUUUCAGACAAGUUUAGCUUUGGAGAUAUAGAAUUGGCAAUUGGAUUUACCGGAUCAUGAUCCAUUGAAGUUUUUGAACUUAUCUUCUGAAACAAUUUAGAUAGUCACUUACAUAGCUUGUCUUUCAAUGUGACAAUUGACAUGCUUGCCAAGAUCCAGGGAGCUUAUUUCAUGGAAGGGACUCAAAGGUGCCAUACUCCUGCGGUAAAAUAUGCGUGAUGAAAUUAUGAACAGAAACCAUAGAGACACAUACCUCGCACAUAAAGAAGUCGGACUGGUAUCCUCCGAGACCGACAACAAAAUAUACUACAAUGGUUUCCCUUGCAUGGCCAAAACUUUGGGCCAGUGGGCACAGCCAGCACGUGCGGAUUCCCACGUUCUUGUCUCCUUUGACAGAAUGGUUUCCCUUGCAUGGUUCCCGGCCCCGUUGCCACGUUUUCUGACAGGAAUUGAACACCCGACUCCACCAACAGAUCAAAGGGAGCGGUUACUACCCAGAGCGGUUACCAGAUGUUGAGACUCUCGCCCCUGGAAGCUCCCACAGCCUAGGUGCCAAGUCUUGCUCGCAUCGUCUAGUAUCACACACAAGAGAAUGAGACUAUGUUUCUUCUCGUUUCUAUGUACCUGGAUCGCGCACAGUCCCGACCAACCCAGCCAGGAUGCAUCGUAUAAAAGCCGACACCUUUGGAUCCAUACAAAUUUGGCCAGUUUCGGUUAUGGCAAUCUGAAAAUCACGAAUCUAGUUUAAGCUUCCCAGAAGAACUCAUGACCACCUGGAGUCUCUUGCUACGCGCAUACUGGACAAGACCAAGACACAGAGUAGAAAGCAAAUCUCAUAAGCAGUUAAUAAGAAGCAAGUACAAAACUUUUUAGCUGUGUGAGUUGGAAAUUACCCCUCUGUACUGGGCCUUAUGUACGGAUGAUGCAUCUGGUAACCGCUCUGGCUAGUAACUGCUCCCUUUGAUCCGUUGGUGGAGUCGGGUGUUCAAUUCCUGUCAGAAAACGUGGCAACGGGGCCGGGAACCAUACAAGGGAAACCAUUGUAGUAUAUUUUUGUUGUCAGUCUCAGAGGAUAAGUAGGGGUCCAGUCCGACUUUGCUAGGCUCCCAGUCCACCCUUACCAUCCCAAAGUGAAAAUUCUUUUAAAUCCAAAAGCAGUCAUUGGAAGAGCAAGCACACCUAGAGUGAUUGACGAUUACGACUGGCAAAUAGGACUAAGUGAUGAAGAAGAGGAGGCGCUGCUUAGCAGCGAAGCUGAUCUGUACCAAAUGACAGUAGAAACUCAGUGCCACUGGAGCCCUGCACACACCGAAUUGAGCUACUACCAACAAACCAACCAUGACGACAGGCACCGUACCACAUGAACCCGAGUUUCAUGGCGAAGAUAAAAGAGGAGGUCGAUAAAUUGCUAAGGUUGGUUUUAUCUACCCGAUUGAGAUAUCACUAAUUGUAGUAGUACCAAAGAAAAACAGCAAGUUGAGGAUCUGCGUUAACUACAAGAAGCUCAACAACAACACGGUGAAGGAUUUCCAUCUGAUACCAUUUACAGAGGAGAUUCUUGAUUUAGUCGCCGGACAUAAGAUGUACAGCUUUUUAGACGGAUUCUCCGGGUACAGCCAGGUUCUGGUAGCCCAGCACAAGACAGCGUUCAUCAGCCCAUGGGGAGCUUAUGCUUACCGAGUCAUGCCAUUUGGUUUGUGCAAUGCACCAUUCACUUUCCAGCGACUGGUAUCAGAGACAUUUUGCGAUGGUGCUCCAAAGAUAUGUACCACCAGAAGAAACGAAUAUCGUUAUCGAAGAAGUGCACGAAGGAACACAUGGAGGACACUUUGCAACACAAACAACUGGUCAAAAGAUCUUGCAGGUGGCCUACACUCUUCCACAACAUUGCCGAAUACUGCUAACAAUGCGACAUUUGUACAAGAUAUGUACACGCUCUUAUGCAAGUCUUCAAAGCAUUGUCUCACAUAUGAUAUUUAAUAUCCUUAGUAUUUAAAUCAUGAAGAAGAUGUCCUCAUAACAAUGUGUUUUUGUUGCCGGAUCCUAGCUCCCUCUUGUGCUUGUGCCUCUCGCCACUCUCAGGAUCCACUGUAAGAUCAUUGGUAAGACGAACAAUGAAACCAUUUGGAAAAAUCAUUGCUAUUUUGAAGUCGUAAGAAAAUGUAAUAGCAACCAAGUCUAUUUCGUCUGAAAAUUCAGACUCAUUCGAAAUAUCUAAGGCUAAUAUCGGCUGUUCUGCCUGAAUCUAAAACAUAAAGUAAGCGUACAAGUAAAACAACAAGGAAAACAAAUUUAACUACCUCUCCAGAUGCGAGCAUCUUGUGAUCUCUCCUCAUCAGUUCAAAAAACCACCCAAACUGUGCCAAAUAGUAAUCAAUGAAGUCUUUGACAUUGAAACAAGGUCCCACAUCGGGACAUAUGCAGAUCUCAUGAUCAAGCAAAGAGCAGAUGUUCUAGGCAUUUUGAGCUCAAUCACUUCCUCGUAUGUGACCUGCUUCAACUCUCCCACAUACUCAUAGCCCUGUGCUUCCAGAAUUUGCACAGAUGCAUCAAUCACGCCUGCUUUGCCAUGGACCUGUGAUUCAAAUACUUAUCAAUUGAAAAAACGAAGUAAUAAUUGCUGAGAAGCAAUUAUUUUGCAGAACUCCAGACCUUUACUUGCGUUGUUUAUUCUGACAGAGUUGCUAACAAAGCAAAAUAGCAGUUUUGGAGCAGUUUGGCAGGCUGUGCUGCUGCCCGAGGCCAGCCACCAGGACAAGAAGCAUCACGCACAGCUAUUUAUACUUAACAGCUCCCAUACUGGGCCUUUUGUACGGAUGAAGUCAUCUGGUAACUGCUCUGGGUAGUAAUUGCUCCUGGGUGUUCAAUUCAUGAGUAGUUAUCUUCUCAAACUGGUUAGAGGAUGCGGUUGGAGGAGCCUGUACUCGGAACUUGGAAUAUUCUUUCGUGCUUUUGGUUAGAGGAUGCGGUUGGAGGAGCCCGUACUCGGAACUUGGAAUAUUCUUUCGUGCUUUUGGUUAGAGGAUGCGGUUGGAGAAACCUUGAUCCUUACCCUCCAAGAUGUGUUAGCGGCCUGUACCCAAUUUCUCUUAUGGAAGUAGUGUAAGUUUGCACCUGGAGUUGCACACUAAGCUGAGUUGUGAAUCUGUCUGCCUCCUGAAUUUUAUGAAUUUUAUGUGAACUCAUUUUCUUGUGUGAUUACUGUUCGUUUUAGAAUUGAAAAGUUUGACCCUAGAGUAGUAGGAGUCUCCAUCUCCUACUUAUCUCGGCAUGCUGCUUCGGAUAUUGUCGACGAAGUACUGCAGUUGACGGUUCUCCUCGGUGAGCUUGUCAAUUUGUUCCUGCGAGGUAGUGGAGUUGCCGGUGGUCUGAGAUGCACUGUUCUUCAGCUCUUCGAAAGUAAUCAUGACUUUGUUAUAGCAUUCCUCGCUCCACUGCUGCAGUCCCUGUAGCAGUUGAGCGAGGAAUGCCAUAACAAAGUCCCUGUAGAUGGUCUUCCACUCGAUACAUCCUAUCCUCCAUAGCCUUCAGCCAUCCUUUGAUGCGCUGGGUUACUUCAUCUUCCGUGACGUACUGAGUGUCUGCAGUACGUUCCAGAUGGGUCUUCUUCGUCCGCUGUACGGUCGUCCUUCUGCUCUUCCAUCAGAAAUCCCUUACCCGGAAGGGAUUCCAAAUCUUCGGCCCAACAUCGUUCGGCUUGCCGAAACACACGCCCUAGUAACCGGGAGAAAUCCCAGCAUCACAAACUUGCUCUGCCGGAGAAGAUGUUUCCAGUGCAAGAGGAACCACAUUGUCCUCCACCGGAGGAGGAGCUUCCAUUUUAUCUUCCAGAGGUUCUUGCACCAUAGCAGCGGCAGAGCUGCUGUUCUUGAUGUGUGUGGAAAUCAGCAAGUUCUUCAUGGCAGCAGCGUGCUGCUGCUUCAUCGAUGACGAGAGCCCGAUCAAAAAGUACUGCUUCUCCUUGGACGGCGGCGACAUACACCCCUGCUUGAUCAGCGUGGAAACGCCGUGCCCCAGCUCGAAUGCGUUGCAGAUCAAAGGCGUGUUGCUCACUGGCUGCCUGGCUAGCUGCCGCAGAGAGUUGAGAAAUCUGCCCCCUCUCAUCUUGAGGCGCUCGGCGAAGAUCAGUACUCCCAGACGAUCUGGCAAGAAUCACUCACCAGCAGCCGAGCGGCAUCGCCAGCGCCAUCGCGGCCUCGCUCGCCAUAGCCUGGCCGUUACGCGGUACAGAAAGAUUGGUAUACGUGGCAGCUAUUUAAUUUCUAAAAUUUAAGAGAAUGUUCGUUAGGGUUAGCGCCAGAGGAUGAAGUUUGGAUGAAAUGCAGAGGAUUUUGGAGGAUCGAGGCCUCAAGCUGCGCCCAGCAAAGAGAAAUGCCAGUGGCCUUUUGUUUUUCUUCAUUGCUCUCAGACAGAAUGUUAUUUUCUGGAAGACGAUGAAGGAGGCAUGAUCUCGUUCGAUCUUUGCUGGUUUCCAGCACGGAUUCCGAGCUCGAGAAAAUGGUUUUGGAAAGGCUGGAUGAAUAUGAAAGCAAUGUAGGCAACUUCGCCGCUCCGUGCGAGAGGAACGAACGCAGAUAAAUCUUUGUCUGAAUGGGCAAAGGAUAGAGGAGUCAAAAGCAACAUUGGCAUAGCUGGUGAGUCUGGGUAUAUUUUUCUAUGACGAUCUUAAAAGCUUUGUGACAAAACAGAUUUUGAAGGAUAUGGUCGAGGAGGGGCUGCAGCCUGCAGCGUGCGAUUUAAAAGCUGGAGAUCUCGUCCUUGAGAUUCCCAGCGAGAUUAUUAGCUCUGAAACUGUCACGCUGGAGUCGGAUUUCUGUUCGAUUUUCUCCGUGCUUGUUUUGACGUCGUGAUUUGAGAAGGGAAAAGUGGGAUUCCUCAGGACAUUGUUUCAAAGUUUUCUCAGCUUUUUGGACAGGACUGUUUUGGGCAUUGGGGACGAAGCUCAACUUUAUCAUCCAGAGUCUGAUGGCCAGACAGAGAGAACCAAUCACACUCUAGAGGCUCUUCUACGUGCAUACGCCUUCAUCUUGGCUCAUGCUGAAUACGCGUACAACACGACUCAUCAUUCUGCCAUUGGAAUGUCCCGUAUGCAGCAUUAUAUGGUCGAGAGGUGCCUGGUCUAUUUUCUCCACUGAUCGUUCAAGAUUCUGAUCUACAAGAGCAUCUUCACGCCAUACAGGAACUCCACACUCUUGUUUGCAACCAUCUCCAUGCUGCCCAGGAUUCCAUGAAGUUUUUUGCGGACCAGCACAGAACUUUUCGAGCCUUUGAGGUUGGGGACUGGGUAUAAAUGUACGGUUUCCAAGCUGCACCUGCAAUUCUUCGGACCUUUCCAGGUUUUAGAAAGAAUCAACCAGGUGGCAUACAGGUUGCAGCUGCCAUUGGGAACUAAGCUUCAUGAUACUAUACUUUUGAAACCCGCCACGUUUUUGUGUGAUGCACGUUUCGGAGCUGAAGUGCCAUCACAGACCUCUUCCUCUUCCUAUGUGUGCUGGCUCCUACAGUCUCAAUGGAGGACAGAUCGUUACUCCAUCCAGACUGAUGUACGCCAACUUCGUGGUCGCCAACUCCACUCUGGGCGUAGCCGGCCAUCAUCGCGUUCCAGGAAACAAGAUUUCGCUCUGGCAUGGCAUCGAACCUGCGCGAUCGCCACGACAAUCGUGAUCACGUCGGGCUGCGGCAUUCGAUCGAAGACCUCUACAGCGGCGAUCAAACCACCGCUCGCGGUGUAGGCCUGGAUCAUCGCGUUCCAGGUCUCUGAUCGCCGCUCUCGGCCAGCGCACUGCCGCCCCGAUUCAGUCGUUCCUGGCAUAGCCAGAGAUCAUCGACGUCCAGGAGCUACAAUCCCGCCCAGGCGGCAUGGCCGUGAAAAGCGACGCUGCGGCAUCCACAUCCCCUUCCUGACAGCCGCCUGGAUCAUCGCGUUCCAAGCCACAGCGCUCCUCUCCGGCACCUCGAUCUUGCCCCGCGCGGCGUGACCCGUGACGAUCAUCGUCCAGGAGAUGAGAUCCGUGAGCGGCAUUCUAUCAAAGACAUCUCUGGCCCGGCACCUCUCUUGGAUCAGGAGACAACGUUCUUGCCCGGGGUGCGAUCAGACGAAACCCUACAUGGCUACUGCAGGCUUGCACAAUUGAGUUCCAGGACACGAGGCUCUUCCUGGGCAUGGAAUCAAAGAGAUUUCUGGCCACAGCAAGAUGCCCUGAUCGGGCAUAUGCUGCAAACAUGAGAUUCCACGACACGGUAUCGCGGCUGGGCAUCUUCCGAAAGAGGUCCCAGGCAUCUUCCAGCCCCUCGUGGCCCAGGGUGAUGUUCCAGGAAAAGAGAUUCUUGUGCCAGCGCCGCCUACAUCUGGACAGACGUGCAAUGUGGCGCACGGAGGAGGGCUUUCAAUAUGCCGGGAUUGGGCAUAUUCCUGGCAUCUCUAUGGCUUCAAAACUCGAGGCUCUACCUUGGAAGUAUACUGUUGAUUGCCGAUGAAGAUCCUUGCCAUGGCGAGUCAGUCCGAUCAUGCUGCUGCUGGCACUGCUGCUGGGGUCUUUGCUCGAUCAGCUCUCUCGGCUCUCUCGGUCUUUGCUUAGCAACUCUCGCAUCCGGGGAACCAUCUCCAUGACGCUGAAGCAUCCCGGGAGCAAGGAGCUCUCACCCUCACCUCCUCGCUGCCGGUGAGCAUCGCCACAACUUUGGACAUUGCUGGACGCUGUGAUGCUGUCGCUUGGGUGCUUAUAACUUUGUUUGUCGUCGGCAUUGUCGGCUCUCUUGUCCAGGAGUUGUAGUAGCUUAUCGCUUUGGUACUGAUCAUUGACGCGAGUUAAAGAGCAAACAUUUCGUAAAUCUUUAUACGUACGUGAUCGAAAUGAUGGGUCAUGUCUUCACUCGUGGUGUCCAGAUUGGUUCUUCCGCUCACGAUUUCUACUAGUACCAGAACUCCAAAGCUGCAGACAUCUGCAGGCAGGUAUCCCCUGAAAGAAGAAAGAAAAAUCAGAGAUGAUCAUAUCAAGCAAUUACAAGAACUUUGAGCUCUCACAUUGUUCCUGCCACCCUCGUACUGAUGAUCUUCGAAGAGCCUUGCCAAACCAAAGUCCGCUACCUUUGCCACCAGAACUUGAUCCAAAAGUACAUUGGUAGCUUUGAUGUCUCAAUGUCUGAUACGCGGUGAUGACUCCUCGUGCAAAUAAGCGAGCCCUUUUGCGACUCCAAUGCAUCUAUUGAAGCGAGUUUUCCAUAAACUCAAAAACAAGAAUCCAAUUGUUUCCUUCGGUGCAGCAUCCAUAAAGCUUGACUAGAUCGCGAUGCAGAUAAGUGUGGCCUCGUUCACAACAUCAGAUAAUCCAGUGAUCCUAUUAAGCUGCUUGAUCGCUACCACCGUACCAUCAGAUAACCUGAAAGUUCAAACACUUUACCAGAAAGAAAACUUUACCUUGUAGACCUUGCCAAAUACUCCUUUCCCCAACAAUCUCACGGGGUCAAAUCCCCCCGUAGCGUUUUCUAUUUCAUCGUAAGAAAACAUAUGCAGCUUUCCGUCUAGAAGUUUGAGCUCUGCAUGGCACAAAACAUUAGUAAAAGUAAUUCGCAAAAGCAUUAAGUGACCUUCAUCGUCGUUCUCUGUGUCGUUUCCUCCACAACAAAUAACCGGAAACCACAAAGAGCACCACGAGUGGCACCGAGACUCCAACACCUAUUUUUACGCCUUUGGAACUGUUUUCACUCUGACCAGUUUCAAAUUCCGAAACGCAAUGUUAGAACGAAGACAAACUUUCGUAGUGGCAGCAGUAUCUAACACUUACCAGGUAGAACUUGGAUUGCGGAUAUCAGAGGACCGAAAGAUCUGAAUGGAGCGCAACAUGUUCCUUUCCCCAUCCAAAGAAGAUGAAUGUCAGGAACGCCGUUAGAUACAUUGACGGCAGUGAAGCUCCUUCUCAACGCUCUAAGAGACCCAUUGGCUUCUUCCCGUAUGUUGAAAUCUUUGAGCUUUCUGUCGCCCUGGAUACCCACUCCUGGUCCGUCCUGGCCAGUGCCGAUGGUAAUCUCUGCAAAGUGGAGGUGUACUGUAUAUGAACCACUUCGCAUGCCAACUCCGAGGCACCUCAAAGAUGUGGGCAGUUUGAUAUAGUACAGCCUGCUGACCAGUGGAACCAUCUAUGCUUUGAAACCAAGUCGGGUUAUCUUGAAAGGAUUCCGCAAACCAGAGCUGCUAGAUACCCAUCCUCCUGUGGAAUAGUAAAAGAACUUGGCAUGUCUAUGUUAAAAUCUGUCCCAUCCGAAAUGAUCUGAGGUCCACCACAGUUGAUAGCAUCUGAAUAGGAAAUAUGUCUAUAUCAAGUGAAGACUUUAUGCAGCAAAUAUCACUCAACUAUUUCCUUGGUUCACACUGCCGCAGUUUGAAAUAUCCUGUAAACACGUAGCAGUAUUCGCAUUUUGUCUGCAAUGAAAACAUGGUGAGGUGAACCUUGUUGAACACGAAGAGAACCAUACCCUUGAGUUCUAGUAGCUGAGAACGGAUUGCCAAUAAUGGUAGCAUUCCUGUGCAAGUUCAGAGAAAUUAGCAUGUCACAUGGAGAAAAAAUGCAUACUUGCUCAGGUCCAGUCAGCCUGUUGAACGAUACAUCUCUGUAUAUGUGCAAAGUACUUGGUUAGAAGAGGGAAACGCUUUUGCAGUCUACGUACAAGUCGACGAUUCUCGAGAGCUGGUUCGGGAGGCCUCCAGUAAGAUUGUUACUUCCCAGGAAACUGAAAAUGCUUGGAUUGCCUUUAGACAUAAAUCAAGGGAUGAAGAACUUACAGUCUGCUAAGACGAUCAAAAGAUGAUAUGUAUGCUGGAAUUGUCCCAGUCAGAUUGUUGAAACUCAAAUGCCUGCAAUAACAACGUUAAAUACAUCUUCUAAGUUGUAGACCUUCCUGCAAGCUUACAAGUGUGUGAGCUGGGUAAGAUUUCCCAGGUCAGGUAUAAAACCAGAUAGCUGACAGUUCCUUAAGGUCCUGGUAAAACAGCCAAAGUAAAUGCUAACUGCUAAAAGAAACGGCUGGUGACUCACAGCUUUGUUAGAGAAGUCAAACAAUUGUAGCUAGGCGGUAUUGAGCCUCUGGCUGAUACUUCUCCCGUUCUCUAUGUAACAAGUAGUUAUUUAGAAAAUCAGGAAGUUUUUCGCAGACUUACAAUUCUCUCAGGUUUGUAAGAUUGGCAAGAGAUGCAGCAAGCGGACCAGAACGUUUGUUACCAUACAUGGCUCUGUCAAAGGAGGCCGCAUUCACAUAAACUUGUAGAAUGAAUUUAUUGCACUUACAAAACUUCGAGACUGGACAUGUUGGCAAGAAAGUCUGGUAUCGAGCCAUUGAAGUUGCUGUCGAACAUAUUUCUGGUGAGUGUAAAUCACACCGACUUAAGAAGCUUACAGUGUCUGGAGCCUUUGCAAACUGCUUAAGGCUGGUGGGAGCUCCCCGCCUAGACCAGUAGAGUCCAAGUACCUUCAGUUCUAAUCAACUUGGUGGCCAACAUGAAAAUGAAUGCUUACUUCUCCACAAAUGACUUGACUAGUGCCACACGCUUGUCUCGGAAGAGCCUCUUCUUCAUCAGCUCGGGCAGCUCCUCCACUGCUGCGGUUCUUGCAAAUGAUUUUUCAGUGUGCUUUCUCCUUGUUACCUGCAUAGCUGCAAGUUUCACCAUAGCUGGAAGAAGACGCCGCAAUCCACUGGAAAAAGCCAGGAACUCAUCCUGAUCAACACCCUGUUCUUCGCUGGGUAGAGAGCAAAUAUGCCCCCUUACCUAAUUAGCGAUAACACAGCCUAGUUAGAUUUAAGUAUUAUUGACCUAAUCACUUCAGUUGAAAAUCUCAAGCCGUUGGUGAUUUAUUCUGCGAAGAGAGGAAGGAAGAAAUGUUGGAGGUGAUCCUUAGUUCUAUAUACGACAUGGUUGCCGGGAAGAAAAUGCCGGAAAAACAACAACAACAAAACCUCUCUUUUAUUCUCUUCCUGACUAUGAAAACACCAGGAUCAUGACUCUUGAUUUAUUUCCUGUCAAAAGGAAAAUCAAAGACACAUUUCCUUUGAGCUGAAAGCGCUUACCAGGCCUUUAACUCAAUGAGCACCUUCUCCACGUUUGGAUCAAUCGUAAACUUCACACUGCGUUCAUGUGUAUUCAUGAUGCCGUCGUACUGCGGCAAGGAAGUAAAAAACUGACAAAGAAACAGACAAAUGAAACAGACAAACCUGCACAAUCUGGCAUUCGUAGCCCUGCUUUCCUUUUGGGAAUGGCAUGUUCAUCUCAAACACCCACUCCCCAUUCUCCUGAGUCAUCUCUUUCGCUUUGUUUUUGCAGAGAUAUCCAUCGCCGAGCCAAGGUACUGGGCCUGAAAUGAGUAACCUUGUCUCCGCCUGAAACUGAUCUUUCACCUGACCCCCUCCAAUGCUCGCCCUCCUCUUUCAGUGAAGACAAAUCUUUUGGUUAAGACUGAUUAGCACAGUGAGUGUUGUUAUUUAUUCAGUUUUUUCUUGACCUGAAGAAAAUAAAAAGUGAAAAAUGAAAAUGAACAAAAUGAAAAUGCCACAACUUACAAAAUCGGGUCCUCCACCAUGAUGCGCAUGCCGAAACUGAUCAGACCGGAACAUGCCUUCAGAGAAGCAUUGUUGUUUACUCCACCUCUUUCAAUGAAGCCUUUCACGAUGUCUACUCUUGUUUGCUUGUCAACUGCAGAAAUAAUCAAUCUAAAAUUUUGAAACAUGAAAAAAAGUAAAAACGUACUUGGAUCAAGCUUACUCAAGAUGUGAUGCAAUUCAGCAUCUCUCCUUGACUUCAGAUGAGGCAGCGCAAGUGAUUUGGCCCUAAGUUGAUCAGUGCUUAUCUGAAAACAAAAAAUAAAAUAAAAUUAAAAUGAAGCUUUCAAACAGGCCCGUCUUGGCGAGUUUGAGAAAGGGUUCAAACUUGCCUUUCCGCUCGGCAUCCCGCUCAGCAACAUCAAACCUGAGCAAAUCGAGAUAUGUACCACGGAGUUGCACACUGACUAGUGGAGAGCAGCCGGAAGAAUAUUCCAAGUUCCGAGUACCAGAACUGGUACAGGUUCCUCCAACCGCAUCCUCCAACCUGUUCGAGAAGAUAACUACUCAUGAAUUGAACACCCAGGAGCGAUUACUACCCAAAGUAGUUACAAGAUGACUUCAUCCAUACAGAAGGCCCAGUACGUAGAAAUAGCUAUGCGAGCUGGAAAUUAAAAAAAGUUUUGUACUUGCCUCUUAUCAACUGCUUAUGAGAUUUGCUUUCUACUCUGUGUCCCAGGAUCAACACAUACAUUGUUUACUCUUACACUUUUAUUUUCCCCUUUUCCAAUUUAUUCAUCUUGUUAGCGUCCUCGUGGAUUCUGUGGCCUGCGCCAUCCUUAGAUGUGUUAGCGUCCUGCACCCAAUUUCUCUGGGCUGUGGGUUUAAACGACUGGCCAAUCGAUUACUCCUACUCGUUUUGGGUCCAUUUCCCUUCUACCAACUUUCCUCGUUUUCCAGUCCCGAGGAUUACAAGCCACUGCCGGAAGAAGCUGUGGCACAGGAUGAGAUGCUGUGGAAGGCGCUCCAGCAGUUGAGGCAUGCUGUGGUGGCUACGCCCUCGUAUGCAUGGGGGCAUGCUCUCUCCACCGCAGUUUUUAUGUACACUAAGUAUUUCCCACUGGAGCAUUGACAAUUACAGCAUAGAGAUGGGAUAAUUUCCAUAUAGUCUGGGAUGAUGGGUAGUGAUCCGUUGGUGGAAUUCCUGUCUGCGUUAGUGCUGCUGUCUACUUCUGGUUGGAGGAUGUGGUUCCAUAAGUGCAGAAGGGGAAAAUAAAAGUGUAAGAGCAAACAAUGCAUGACUCAAUGUUGAUCCGGGACACAGAGUAGAAAGCAAAUCUCAUAGAGACAAUGAAAACGGCACUCACAAAAGCACCUAUUCUAGCAGUGCCAAGAGUUUCAUGUGCUUGUGGAUGCAUUGCACAUCGCCAUUGCCAAGGCACAACUUGACAGAAAGGACAGACCUAUUUACUACGCCAGCAAACGCUUGUCCCCUGCAAAAUUGAAUUACACAACUACAGAAAACGUGCCUGUAAGCUCCUGAGUUUGGACUUCCCAGGAGGUCACCCAACCCAGUACUAUUCAAACCCAAGGAUGCUUAACUCCAACUAUCCCAAGACCCUUAACCGAUUGGAAAAGGGGGUGCACUCUUGUUCAUGGGCCCUUUCCCUCUAUAUUUGAACCCCUAUGGAUCGUCUCUCGAAUCGUUCCCUUUGGUUGCUUACAAUCCACCACACUUCCCUGCAAGUUCACGCCCUCGUGAACGGAAGCUGAGAGCCGCAGCUCUCCCGAGAGCCCUGCUCUCUUGACACCCUACCCCUCGGGUCAAGCCCAGCGGGAGCAAACUGGACCAGCCAGAUGUCAAUCAACAUGUGGUGCGAUUCCCCUAAGCCAACCAACAGAGUCGGACCUGAGACCGCUCCGAUACCAAAUGUAAGCUCCUGAGUUUGGACUUCCCAAGAGGUCACCCAACCCAGUACUAUUCAAACCCAAGGACGCUUAACUCCAACUAUCCCAAGACCCUUAACCCAUUGGAAAAGGGGGUGCACUCUUGUUCAUGGGCCCUUUCCCUCUAUAUUUGAACCCCUAUGGAUCGUCUCUCGAAUCGUUCCCUUUGGUUGCUUACAGUGCCUUGCGAUGAUAUACGCCGUGAAGAAAUUUCGACACUAUCUUCCAGCUAAUCGCAUCAAAUUUGUUGUUGGUCAUCAAGCACUCUUACAUCUAAAUCCAAUAGGAAGGUUGGCCAGAUGGUUCUUACUCCUUACAGGAAUUUGAUUUCAAAAUAAUACACUGACUGAGACGCCUAUACUUACCCUACAAGACUUACAACAUCCCCUAGGUAAAUACACUAUGGUUUUGGGCUUUCAGCCUUGGGCGCCUGCCACGCUGUCUUUUCCCUGUUGCCACGUAUUCUUGUCUCCUUUGCCACGCGGGUUUCGACGUGGCAAAAGAUUAACGGGACGCGAUGCUUAGGGUUCCAGAGUCUGAGCCAAAAUGACCGCUGUUCUGUCUGACUCAGAAGACAACCAGCAGACUCCACCAAGAGCACAAGCGAACAAGGCGAGCACCUCCAUCUGAGCGCUCCACGGGUGGGAAUACAAGUGGAAGAAGAGCGCCGAUCAAGGCUGGUUCAUACAGAAGGGUUUGGGAGGAAUCAUCGAGGUACUGGCUAACAAGGUAGUUACCAUAGAUGGGCUGUUCCUUACCAACAUGAUCAUGGCGAUGGACGAGCACAAGAAGGCGAUCAGAGUCUACAGGAGGAACAUCCGGCUUUCAGCGGAGUUCUUCAACCAGGUAUUCGAUUUUCCAGAAUUCCAGGGACACAUGAAGAAGCCCAGCCGAACCAUCCGACCAAGUGCGUAUCGACAUUUGUUCGAAGAAACAGUUGCGGGCAGAAGAAAGUGGAAGACCCAUCUCGCCAGAAGGAAGGACACCAAACGGGUGAAAGGCAUCCAAGUCGGGGACUUUCCGGUUGCACACGCCAACAGGCUUCGACCCCUUACGGCUCUCAUCGGAUGCAAGGAGGAGCCGAAGGCGAUCCCGGCAAAUGUAAUGUGGGCCUAUGCGAGAGCAGAGAACAGGCAAUCGGUGAACUGGGGGGUGAUCUUCCGGAUUUCAUUUUUCCGGGUGAUUGCCGCUCAGAAAAGUAGGAUCCUGAGCCGUCAGGAAGGAUUCACGUAUCUAGCGAGGAUAGCGGGGUACCUCGGGCUAACAUCAGGGUACAAGUGGAAGUUCCGACCCCUACAUGAACUGCUGGAGUACUCGCUAAAGAAGCAGAUGGACGACUUCAUCAACGGGGUGAAGAACAACACCGAAGGCUGGUACAAAACGCUACACUACACCAGUGAUCAGGACUCGGACAGUUCGGCGGAGGAAGAAGAGCCGGAGGAAGACGGGGCCGAUGUGGACCCCGAAUCCCCGUCGAUCCCACAGGUACCCAGAGGUAUGCCAGAUCAGCCGGUAGAUGGUAACCCACCGCCACAGUAUGGAGGCGGCGUACGAAUUACCCAUCGAGGAGUAACCGAAGUUGGCAGUUAUGGCCAGCCAGUAUACUCCGACUUUGGGACGACCCGGGCAGAACGCUAGUGUCAGCUGACGCAUCAAGAAGGAGAAAUGCCAGGGACGCAACCACGGCCCCCUUACCUAAUUAGCGAUAAUAAAGCCUAGUUAGAUUUAAGCAUUAUUGACCUAAUCACUUCAGCUGAAAAGUGACCGCUGUUCUGUCUGACUCAGAAGACAACUAGCAGACUCCACCAAGAGCACAGGCGAACAAGGCGAGCACCUCCAUCCGAGCGCUCCACAGGCGGGAAUACAGGUGGAAGAAGAGCGCCGAUCAAGGCUGGUUCAUACAGAAGGGUUUGGGAGGAAUCAUCGAGCUACUGGCCAACAAGGCAGUUACCAUAGAUGGGCUGUUCCUCACCAACAUGAUCAUGGUGAUGGACGAGCACAAGAAGGCGAUCAGAGUCUACAGGAGGAACAUCCGGCUUUCGGCGGAGUUCUUCAACCAGGUAUUCGAUUUACCAGAAUUCCAGGGACACAUGAAGAAGCCUAGCUGAACCAUCCGACCAAGUGCGUAUCGACAUUUGUUCGAAGAAACAGUUGCGGGCAGAAGAAAGUGGAAGACCCAUCUCACCAGAAGGAAGGACACCAAACGGGUGAAAAGCAUCCAAGUCGGGGACUUUCCGGAUGCACACGCCAACAGGCUUCGACCCCUUACGGCUCUCAUCGGAUGCAAGGAGGAGCCAAAGGCGAUCCCAGCAAAUGUAGUGUGGGCCUAUGCAAGAGCAGAGAAUAGGCAAUCGGUGAACUGGGGGGUGAUCUUGCGGAUUUCAUUUUUCCGGGUGAUUGCCGCUCAGAAAAGCAGGAUCCUGAGCCGUCAGGAAGGAUUCACGUAUCUAGCGAGGAUAGCGGGGUACCUCGGGCUAACAUCAGGGUACAAGUGGAAGUUCCGACCCCUGCAUGAACUGCUGGAGUACUCGCUAAAGAAGCAGAUGGACGACUUCAUCAACGGGGUGAAGAACAACACCGAAGGCUGGUACAAAACGCUACACUACACCAGUGAUCAGGACUCGGACAGUUUGGCAAACGAAGAAGAGCUGGAGCAGCAGAAAGAUGGGGCCGACGUGGACCCCGAAUCCCCAUCGAUCCCACAGGUACCCAGAGGUAUGCCAGAUCAGCCGGUAGAUGGUAACCCACCGCCACAGUAUGGAGGCGGCGUACGAAUUACCCAUCGAGGAGUAACCGAAGUUGGCAGUUAUGGCCAGCUAGUAUACUCCGACUUUGGGACGACCCGGGCAGAACGCUAGUGUCAGCUAACCCAUCAAGAAGGAGAAAUGCCAGGGACGCAACCACGGCCCCCUUCCCUAAUUAGCGAUAAUAAAGCCUAGUUAGAUUUAAGCAUUAUUGACCUAAUCACUUCACCUGAAAAGUGACCGCCGUUCUGUCUGACUCAGCAGACAACCAGCAGACUCCACCAAGAGCACAGGCGAACAAGGCGAGCACCUCCAUCCGAGCGCUCCACGGGCGGGAAUACAGGUGGAAGAAGAGCGCCGAUCAAGGCUAGUUCAUACAGAAGGGUUUGGGAGGAAUCAUCGAGGUACUGGCAAACAAGGCAGUUACCAUAGAUGGGAUGUUCCUCACCAACAUGAUCAUGGCGAUGGACGAGCACAAGAAGGCGAUCAGAGUCUACAGGAGGAACAUCCGGCUUUCGGCGGAGUUCUUCAACCAGGUAUUCGAUUUUCCCGAAUUCCAGGGACACAUGAAGAAGCCCAGCCGAACCAUCCGACCAAGUGCGUAUCGACAUUUGUUCGAAGAAACAGCUGCGGGCAGAAGAAAGUGGAAGACCCAUCUCGCUAGAAGGAAGGACACCAAACAGGUGAAAGGCAUCCAAGUCGGGGACUUUCCGGAUGCACACGCCAAUAGGCUUCGACCCCUUACGACUCUCAUCGGACGCAAGGAGGAGCCGAAGGCGAUCCCGGCAAAUGUAGUGUGGGCCAAUGCGAGAGUAGAGAACAGGCAAUCGGUGAACUGGGGGGUGAUCUUCCGGAUUUCAUUUUUCCGGGUGAUUGCCGCUCAGAAAAGCAGGAUCCUGAGCCGUCAGGAAGGAUUCACAUAUCUAGCGAGGAUAGCAGGGUACCUCGGGCUAACAUCAGGGGACGAGUGGAAGUUCCGACCCCUGCAUGAACUGCUGGAGUACUCGCUAAAGAAGCAGAUGGACGACUUCAUCAACGGGGUGAAGAACAACACCGAAGGCUGGUACAAAACGCUACACUACACCAGUGAUCAGGACUCGGACAGUUUGGCAAACGAAGAAGAGCCGGAGCAGCAGAAAGACGGGGCCGACGUGGACCCCGAAUCCCCGUCGAUCCCACAGGUACCCAGAGGUAUGCCAGAUCAGCCGGUAGAUGGUAACCCACCGCCAUAGUAUGGAGGCGGCGUACGAAUUACCCAUCGAGGAGUAACCGAAGUUGGCAAUUAUGGCCAGCCAGUAUACUCCGACUUUCUGACGACCCGGGCAGAACACUAGUGUCAGCUGACCCAUCAAGAAGGAGAAAUGCCAGGGAUGCAACCACGGCCCCCUUACCUAAUUAGCGAUAACAAAGCCUAGUUAGAUUUAAGCAUUAUUGACCUAAUCACUUCAGCUGAAAAGUGACCGCCGUUCUGUCUUACUCAGAAGACAACCAGCAGACUCCACCAAGAGCACAGGCGAACAAGGCAAGCACCUCCAUCCGAGCGCUCCACGGGCGGGAAUACAGGUGGAAGAAGAGCGCCGAUCAAGGCUGGUUCAUACAGAAGGGUUUGGGAGGAAUCAUCGAGGUACUGGCCAACAAGGCAGUUACCAUAGAUGGGUUGUUCCUCACCAACAUGAUCAUGGCGAUGGACGAGCACAAGAAGGCGAUCAGAGUCUGUAGGAGGAACAUCCGGCUUUCGGCGGAGUUCUUCAACCAGGUAUUCGAUUUUCCAGAAUUCCAGGGACACAUGAAGAAGCCCAGCCGAACCAUCCGACCAAGUGCAUAUCGACAUUUGUUCGAAGAAACAGCUGCGGGCAGAAGAAAGUGGAAGACCCAUCUCGCCAGAAGGAAGGACACCAAACGGGUGAAAGGCAUCCAAGUCGGGGACUUUCCGGUUGCACACGCCAACAGGCUUCGACCCCUUACGACUCUCAUCGGAUGCAAGGAGGAGCCGAAGGCGAUCCCGGCAAAUGUAAUGUGGGCCUAUGCGAGAGCAGAGAACAGGCAAUCGGUGAACUGGGGGGUGAUCUUCCGGAUUUCAUUUUUCCGGGUGAUUGCCGCUCAGAAAAGCAGGAUCCUGAGCCGUCAGGAAGGAUUCACGUAUCUAGCGAGGAUAGCGGGGUACCUCGGGCUAACAUCAGGGGACGAGUGGAAGUUCCGACCCCUGCAUGAACUGCUGGAGUACUCGCUAAAGAAGCAGAUGGACGACUUCAUCAACGGGGUGAAGAACAACACCGAAGGCUGGUACAAAACGCUACACUACACCAGUGAUCAGGACUCGGACAGUUUGGCAGACGAAGAAGAGCCGGAGCAGCAGGAAGACGGGGCCGACGUGGACCCCGAAUCCCCGUCGAUCCCACACGUACCCAGAGGUAUGCCAGAUCAGCCGGUAGAUGGUAACCCACCGCCACAUUAUGGAGGCGGCGUACGAAUUACCCAUCGAGGAGUAACCGAAAUUGGCAGUUAUGGCCAGCCAGUAUACUCCGACUUUGGGACGACCCGGGCAGAACGCUAGUGUCAGCUGACGCAUCAAGAAGGAGAAAUGCCAGGGACGCAACCACGGCCCCCUUACCUAAUUAGCGAUAACAAAGCCUAGUUAGAUUUAAGCAUUAUUGACCUAAUCACUUCAGCUGAAAAGUGACCACCGUUCUGUCUGACUCAGAAGACAACCAGCAGACUCCACCAAGAGCACAGGCGAACAAGGCGAGCACCUCCAUCCGAGCGCUCCACGGGCGGCAAUAUAGGUGGAAGAAGAGCGCCGAUCAAGGCUGGUUCAUACAGAAGGGUUUGGGAGGAAUCAUCAAGGUACUGGCCAACAAGGCAGUUACCAUAGAUGGGUUGUUCCUCACCAACAUGAUCAUGGCGAUGGACGAGCACAAGAAGGCAAUCAGAGUCUGCAGAAGGAACAUCCGGCUUUCGGCGGAGUUCUUCAACCAGGUAUUCGAUUUUCCCGAAUUCCAGGGACACAUGAAGAAGCCCAGCCGAACCAUCCGACCAAGUGCGUAUCGACAUUUGUUCGAAGAAACAGCUGCGGGCAGAAGAAAGUGGAAGACCCAUCUCGCCAGAAAGAAGGACACCAAACGGGUGCAAGGCAUCCAAGUCAGGGACUUUCCGGAUACACAUGCCAAUAGGCUUCGAUCCCUUACGGCUCUCAUUGGAUGCAAGGAGGAGCCGAAGGCGAUCCCGGAGCCAGGGUAGAGCGUGGGGGAGGAUUUGGCUGAAUUGCGGAAGUCUCUCACGCAAUCGCUAUGGGGGAUAGCUUCUUUUCUUGCGCCGCUGCCAAAGUCAUGCAGAGAAAAUUCUCCCAAGGUAGAAGAGGAAACUUCUCGAGAUGAUUAUCAGGAAAAUCAAGGAGUGGAGAAUGCCAGUGUUUGUAUCGUUGAGAAAGAGAAGCUUAGUGGAAUGCAAAGCGACUUUGCGGAACUCAAGGGAGGAUUCAGGAAAGGUUUCCGGGGGGAUGAGUCCCGGAGCAGUGACAAGCCGGAGGGAGCUUCCCAGGACGCGGGGCUGCUCAAGCCUUUGAUUGACAACGUUCUCACCAGCGACAAACCGGCCGGCCAGGUUACUCCUGUUGAUGACGAAGAAGAUACCAGUCGUGGUGGUGGCAUGGAGUCGUCGUCCAAGAUGGGGAUUUCGGCGGCGACUCUCGUGGAUGGAGUGUCCAAGCUUGUGUCGAGCUUGUUCUUGUUUGAUGACGAGCCAGACGACGCCAUCGAGGUCCCGGUGCUCACUGACGAGGUUGUCGCGUUUGCGAGGAACGUCUCUUUUCAUCCCGAGACGUGGCUCGACUUUGCUCUUGCCUUGGACGAUGAUCUUCAAAACGGUAUGGGAAGUGUUUUGACAUUGUUUACCUUGAGGAUCACUUAGCAGGAGAAAAAAAUCUCUUUUUUCUUGCAGGAUUUCAGAUGAACCACGCUUAUGCAGUGGAGCGUGCUGCGUUGAGGCUCGCCGCCUUAAUUUGUCCCCGGCAUAUGAACGAGGGACGUUUUUGGCUGGGAAUGGGAAUUGUUGCAGCUCCAGGAAUUAGAAAGAGAGAAACGUGCUUUAGCGAAACGACUUCUGUAAGCGGUCGUGGUGGCAAGGGCGCUAGAUCGGAAGUCAUUGAUAUCAGUGAUGAGGAGAGUAAUGGGGAGACGUCUAUACUAGGUGAGAAGCACAAUCUGCCAUUGAGCUUCACACCUCGAGGCCGUCAGGAGACAGUCGCAGUGAAGGAAGAACCGGGAUGGCGUGGUAUGGGUGUAAAGAAGGAAGAGCCUCCCGGGAGCUAUGCUCAAACAGCUGCCUGGAAUGGAGCAACUUCCUCUUACGGCUGGAGAGUUGCUCCAAAGAUGGAAGAAGUUUUUCUGAUGGGCAGAAGGUUUGAUCAGCCGGCUUCGUCGGGUUCAUCUGUCCAUGCAGGCCCAAAGAAGAAGGAAGAACCAGUUCAGAACACGAGCACAAACACAACUCCAAAUCUGCUCAACCAGUGCCUGUGGUUCGCCGGAAUGGUCAAGCCAGCAUAGCAACUUCGUCUUGCCGCUGGACAGCUCCUCCAAACAAGGAAGAAGUUUUGCCAACUGGUAGAAGGUUUGAUCAGCCGUCGUUGUCGGGUUCGUAUGUCCAUGCAGGCCCAAAGAAGGAGCCUUUGAGUCAAGAAACUCCAAAGAAGGAAGAAUCAGUUCACAACACGAGCACAAACACAAGCUGCUCAACAGGUGCACGUAGACAAAUGUCUUCGCCGGAUCUUGGAGGUACACUUGCACUGACUGCUAUUUGGAUGUUUACAUUUUCUUUUCCCACAGAGAAUGAUCACUCCUGAUACAAACGAAGAGGCCACUCCAGAUGAGGGAAUGAGGUAUACUUUUAAAUCUUCUAUGUUUCACGGGUUUAAAGCAAUCUUUGUAGAGAAUAGCUUUAGCUUGGAUGGUGAAGAGCGAGGAGCGUGGAAAUUGUUCUGGUGGCUUUCUAGCAGGUGAGCCUUUUGUAUGUCAUAUUGGUUGAACGAUCUCCUUGACGUCAAUCCGGGAACACAAGCCAUUAAACCUGAGAUUAAACCUAAGAUCCUGAGCUUAUGCCAAAUAGAAGGGGUGGCACUCUUGUCGUACGCCCGACAAGCGUUUUGAGACAGUGGUAUCAUGAGAUCGAGGAAAAAGUUACAGCGGCGGCAAGGUAACAGGAAGAGGUGUCCCUACGAGUUAGCCAAAUAUGACGUUGUGUUAACCACGUACUCAAUUGUAACAAAUGAGGUGCAUUCUCCUUGCCCACCACUUCCAAUUCCAGUCGCAAGUAUGCCAGACCUACGCCACGCUCCUCAAGUGCGAAUCCAUGUCCACAUUGUCGCUAACAGCCUCACCUCCGCGAUCACCUUUUCCUCCGGAGCGGGAUAGCUUUGGAGACUGGGCUGGUGAAGAUGGAGCUAUCUCAUGAGUUAUAGAACACCAUCUCAGCUAGCACGCAGGUAGUGGCUCCUCCAUUCUCAGGGCCUCCUGCUCCAGCUCUUCAAAUCCAAGCUCCCAAGACUAGCAUACCAAAGACAAUAGGUAAGGGAAACAUCAUAGAAAGCUUUAGUGUACCUCAAUGGAAGCUCCCAAAGCAGAGUCAAAGCUUGCAUUCACAAUACUUGGAAGAGUACCCUCCUGAAAGAAAAUUCUUGCCCGUGCCUACGUCUGUACUUUCCCUUCUCCUGAAACACAACACACAACACACAAGUGAGCACGAAUCGAAUGGUUUCUAAACAUACGCACAGUUUGGCAUCGAAGUUGAGCCCACCAGGAGCAAGACCUCCCUACACGAAGAUAAGAUAAACAAAAGAUGAUACGGUCAGGCGAAGAAACAAGUUUUCGAGUGACUUACAUUCUGAAGCACUCAAAGCAUCACUUGCGUGGUUUCUGCAAUAUCCAUCAGGAGCAGGUCGGUAUCCCAUCCUGAAAGAAAAUCUCUGAGGUACUGCGUGAAACGAAGUAGCGGAAAAAACCUACCUGUUUGAGCGUCACCAGUGUUGGCGUCAAUGUUUCCCAAAACUCCAUUGGUUCGAGAAACUUCCAGUUCAUGACAGCAGCUGCAUUCCACGAGUAUCAGUACAAACAAUAAACUUUCGGCUGUCUUACCUGUGUCGUUGCGUGGUUGCAUUCGAAGUCGUCCGCGCCGGAGGAAUAGAGUUAGAUGGAUCUACGGGGAAAACCACAAGCUAGCUUACCCUUCAAUCCAUGUUUUUGCAAGAAUCCAAUCGCCGUUGCAGCAUCCCAAUCAUAUCUACAUAAACAAACAUUAAGUAAGGUGCAUUAAGUUUAAAGCAAGCCGGUACUGAUGCUUCGUGGGUUCCUGAGGCUUUGGUUCAAUGAGAAGCACGCCUGCGAUAUGAAAGAAAAAAAUGUCUCAGCACCAAGCAGUCAGCGUGAGAUACUUACCGUCAAAUUCGAUCUUCUUCUUGUACUCAGCGGCCGAUUUCAAAAAUUGUCCCUGCAAAGCCUAUAGCUGCCGAAGUUGAAGACGAGAACAAAGAAAUUAUUACCAGGUGAUUGAGCUCCCUCUCAAGGUCUGUGUCCAAGAGAGACUGAAAUCCUUCCCGGCCACCCCAGAACACGUAAUUCUCUCCACCAAGCUCGUUCGUAGCCUGAAAGCAGAAAGCUCAGACGUCAGCAUGAAUAAAAGAAGAGCAAAACAUGUAACAUACCUCUCUUGACUUGAGCGGCUGCAUAAGCAUAAAUCCUAGCGUCGGGACUAGAAGCAAUUACAAUAGGAAAGAGAGCAACAAUACCUGGUGGCUGCGCCAUGCCUGUAUCUUGGGUGCUUGAAAAGCUGCGCUGUUCCCUAGAGAGGUCUUGUGGACUGGUCGGACAUCACAAAUGCGCACAUAGUUCCUGUCUCAAGCUCAAGGUUAGAAGUUCCGGAAAGUUUCAAGCUUUCAUGGUACGCUAGGAAGGGGGUUUGCUGCUACUGGCCCCAAAGGAAUUCUGACACAGCAGCAGCAGCGAAAUGGCCGCAGACCAUCAGGACUUCGUCAUCGGAUUCAUUUCCAUAAAUCCUGCUGCAUGGCCUCCAAGCUGCCAAUCUCGGAGUGCUCUCCCGAGGACGUUUACAAUGGGCGAGAUGAAAAGAGGCACCGCGUCGGAGAAGUACCAACGUACCAGCAGUUUAUCUUGUGCUCCCACUCAGAGCACACGAAAAAACCCGUUCUUUACCGCUGGCCAUUUACUCCCCCUUUGAUAGACCGUCUCUUGGCCAUUUUGAUAAUGCGGGGCCUCGUCCAUCUGUGCUGCUGCUGCUGCUGCUGCUGCUUGGGAUUUCUGGCUGGCUGGAUUCGUCGCUGGGGCUCCAGCCUCUGAUCUUGUCAAAGAUCUUCCAGGCCUUCGUUCAAGCAGUAUGCCAUGUGCCGGAUAUAUGUGAACUCUAUCUCGUUCCUCUUCCUUGAUAUCCAAAUGGUUCUCUCGUCCUCUCUCUCUUUCUAAAAUGCCGGUUUUUCAGGACCCGGAUGCUCGUCGCUCGGAGGUGGUGCAUUCACGGAGCUCGGCCCUUUCUAUCCCGACUCCAAAUCGGAUGGCCUGGUGCAGGAACUGGUCGGAGAAAUUCUCUGGGUUCCUGUGCUUGUUUACGUCGAUACUCGCCUCAGCUUCAAUUAUCCGGUUCUCCGAUGGCUGAAAAGCUCUCCAAGUUAGAACCAUCAAUGAUCGGACUCAAAAAACAUACGAACUUACCCGGAAGGGAUUCCAAAUCUUCGGCCCAACAUCGUUCGGCUUGCCGAAACACACGCCCUAGUAACCGGGAGAAAUCCCAGCAUCACAAACUUGCUCUUCCGGAGAAGAUGUUUCCAGUGCAAGAGGAACCACAUUGUCCUCCACCGGAGGAGUUUCCAUUUUAUCUUCCAGAGGUUCUUGCACCAUAGCAGCGGCAGAGCUGCUGUUCUUGAUGUGUGUGGAAGUCAGCAAGUUCUUCAUGGCAGCAGCGUGCUGCUGCUUCAUCGACGACGAGAGCCCGAUCAAAAAGUACUGCUUCUCCUUGGACGGCGGCGACAUACACCCCUGCUUGAUCGGCGUGGAAACGCCGUGCCCCAGAUCGAAUGCGUUGCGGAUCAAAGGCGUGUUGCUCACUGGCUGCCUGGCUAGCUGCCGCAGAGAGUUGAGAAAUCUGCCCCCUCUCAUCUUGAGGCGCUCGGCGAAGAUCAGUACUCCCAGACGAUCUGGCAAGAAUCACUCACCAGCAGCCGAGCGGCAUCGCCAGCGCCAUCGCGGCCUCGCUCGCCAUAGCCUGGCCGUUACGCGGCACAGAAAGAUUGGUCCAGGGGCGGCGAGUGUGUAGAGGAUGAAGUUUGGAUGAAAUGCAGAGGAUUUUGGAGGAUCGAGGCCUCAAGCUGCGCCCAGCAAAGAGAAAUGCCAGUGGCCUUUUGUUUUUCUUCAUUGCUCUCAGACAGAAUGUUAUUUUCUGGAAGACGAUGAAAGAGGCAUGAUCUCGUUCGAUCUUUGCUGGUUUCCAGCACGGAUUCCGAGCUCGAGAAAAUGGUUUUGGAAAGGCUGGAUGAAUUUGGCACUGAUGAAAGCAAUGUAGGCAACUUCGCCGCUCCGUGCGAGAGGAACGAACGCAGAGAAAUCUUUGUCUGAAUGGGCAAAGGAUAGAGGAGUCAAAAGCAACAUUGGCAUAGCUGGUGAGUCUGGGUAUAUUUUUCUAUGACGAUCUUAAAAGCUUUGUGACAAAACAGAUUUUGAAGGAUAUGGUAGAGGAGGGGCUGCAGCCUGCAGCGUGCGAUUUAAAAGCUGGAGAUCUCGUCCUUGAGAUUCCCAGCGAGAUUAUUAUCUCUGAAACUGUCACGCUGGAGUCGGAUUUCUGUUCGAUUGCUGUUUACACGGAUCGAGUAAAGUGACUUGCGUCACCGUUGCAUUUUUCUGCCUCGUUCUUGCUUGCUCUGGUGAGAAAGAUGUUCCAGAAGGAAUUGCCACUCACAGACUGAUCGAAGAGAGCGAGCUUGCUUCCAACGAACCCUUGUGCCACUCGCUCCUGAACACCGAGCUUGGGAGACUAGAGGGCGUUCGGGAAAUUUUUGAAAAGAUGGCGAGCAAGAACGUGAUCUCCUGGAUGUCCAUCGUCUCGGCUCACGCCCAAGCAGUGGAGAUGACUCUGUCGCUCUUCGUGAGAAUGCAGCUGGAUGGCCUCACUGCACACAGAUCGAGUGCUCUCACUGCCUGCUCGAGCAUUCCAGCUCCAGUGCAAGGCAAGCUCCUCUACCAGGAACUUCUGGAGAGCGGUGGCCUGGAAGACGAUGCAGUGCUCACGACCGCAUUGCUCGACAUGUACGCCAGCUACGGGGGCCUCGAGAGGUUGUUCCGGGACAUGGUUUUCAAGGACGAAGUCACGUGGACUGCGAUGAUCGCUGGAUAUGUGCGCAACGAUCUAGAAAGCCGUGGAGCUCUUCCGGGAGAUGCUGGCAAACGGCUUGAGCCCCGGGGCCGUGACGUUUGUGCACUUGUUCUCGGCGGAGUCGCGCUGGUACCUUUAUAUGUUGCUCGAGAACUACAAGCUGGUGCACGAGCUGGAUCACCAGGUCUGUGAUUGUUCGGCUUGCUGGAACGUCUCAACAGGGCCGAUGAGCUGAUCCAAACCGGGCCUGGAGGACGCUGCUUUCGGCUUGCAAGACGCACAACAAGAAGGAUCGAGCGGACCGAGCGGCAAAGAAGAAUGACAGCAAGCUCGAUCCGGGAUGUCGCUCUCAUCCUCUCCAACUUAAACGCCGAUGCUGGGGAAUGCAAAGGCGGAAGAAGCAACAGCCGCAGGGCCAGCUCCUCGUUGCUAUGAUCCUCCAAGCCAGGAAACACGUAGUGAGCGCAGGACUACACAAGUUGUGGCGAGAGGGAGGGAGUUGGGAUCACGGAGACCAGCAAGCUCGGCUGUCGCGGGGUGAUGAUGAUAGAAUAGUUCCACGCAAGACAAGGGUGGAGCUCGAUUGUUGGGACGAUUACUACAAGCUGAGGCAGCGAGCUCUGAGGAACAAGAGCUCCUCCUCGUCUCACUGCUCGCUGGUGAGCCAGAGAAGCUCAGCGAAGUCUGGAGCAACUAAGCCUUCGGUUUUGGUCGUAUUCCUUUGAGACAGUGGUUUGUUGUCAGAAAAUGGCAACAUCCACAAACCGGAACUGAAAGUUCUAAGCAUGAUUCGAGCUGCACCCUAUCAAAACGAAGUAAAAGUCAAUGACGUUGCAAAGUCCCAACAGCUUUAACGAACCUCUGAAAUUGGUAAUCCAAACGUCACCCUAGAAAGAACGCCUUUCAGAGCAUCUGGAGCUCCUAGAAAAGGAGCACCUGCAAGAGAUAGCAUUGCUGGUAAGAAGGUUAACAAUCCGCCAAUCUCACCUAGAGCAUGAUACGUGAAAAUGUGAUCGUCGAUCCAAGUGGUGUACAGUUUGGGCGGUACUUCUUGUUUCAACCAUUCCAGAAAAUAUCUGAACACAUUAUUCCCAAGAGAAUGCGCGAAAACGAGGGCCGUCACUCGUUUUCGCGCAUACUCUUGGCCCCCCUCGCAGCUUCGGAAGCGUCUCGAAAGUUAGCCUGGAAUUAGAGAUUAGAAAAACAAGAGGUGAUUUUGAGAAGGCAAAACCUCAGCCUGUGGAAGUACAGACCUCGUUCGAGGAGAACUGGACCCGCCAAUCUCCAGUCGUAGGGUGCAUCAACGCCGAACUCUACACACCAAGAAACCCACUCCUUCCAUACAGAAGACAAUGGUCCUGUGAUAUCCUGAUUAACAAAACGAAUAGAGAAAAAAAUGGAUACCUGUGAAAUAUCGGAAAAUUUUUUCAAACGAAACUCACCAGAGCUACUUGUUUAUGCUGUUGUCUCAGCUCCUAGACCAUGAUCCUCAAAGGUUUGAAACCCAACUUCCUUUCCCGAUCCUGCUGGUGCAAAGCUCUGUUCGAGAUCGCAGCUGUCAGUGCUCUGAAAGAUCCUGAAAAAAACUAAAAAUCCAGUGAGCUGAAAUCAAGGGGCGAGAAGGGACAAUACCAUGAUCUCGUGCAGCCAUUUAUCAAUCCCUGAGUGCCAGAGAUCUGUUGCAGAUGUCAUUCUAGGACCUUGCAAAAAGGAGUUCUUCUUUGUCAUAGCAUCAGAGGGGUAAAAAACGCAAAAGAAGCUAUAGUCGAAGCUUCUCGACGGCUGAAACUUCCCACGUCCAAAACACGGAAAGAUUAGCAAAAACAGUCAAAAUGAAUCAAGCAGAAGCUCACUGUUUGCCAAGUGAUUCUUCCCGUGUUUAAUUCUGGCGGAACUUGUUGAAGUGACACUUGACAGAAAUUCUCGUUAAAAGAAACUGCAAACUUUCCUCACACGAUGCUCACUGUUUUGUCCCCACUACUUAUUUAAUGGGGGUGAGCUGCGUUGCUGCCUCAGCUCCUGGAUCAUGAUCUUGGCGUCGUCGGUGUUGCUUUCCUCGCUGGCGCCUCAAAGUCAACGUUGAAGGUGACUAGGUUUGGCUUGAAUCCCUUCUCCAGCAUCUCUCUGCAGCAGCUGAAAUCCCAGCUUCCCUUUCCCGAGCUUGCAAAUCGUGCUGAUCAGAGCUACGUACGAGAUCGCAUCCACCAGUCCAGCAGCCAUCGGAUGAGGGGCCGAUUUAUAAUCUGAAAAUAGAAAACAAUUAACCAUAUAAAUAGAUGAUUCAUUGAUCUUCAUUCCUCUGAAAUCUCUGCGGUUUCCUAAAAGGGACGUGUCAAUCAAUGGCUGACAACGACUCAAAAAAGAUGUGAGUUACCCUAAACAGGCUUGGGUAAUGGAAGAUAGAAAGUAAAAGCAUAAAAGAUAAAAGUUUUGCUGCCCAAUGAUGAAAUCUAAGUUAACCAAAAGCGUGGCUUUCCAAUUUAGGAUAAACUUGGAUGUUAAGAAAUUACUAAUUUCUACAUUCAAAAAUAUUAUAAUAUGCAAAAGCCAUAUUUUAUAUUUUAUGUAAAUUAAUUUAUAUAUAACUAAGAAAUAAUGCAAUACUAAUAUACUUAAAAGUCUCUCAAAAAAAGAUGAUUGCAGUGAUCAUAUCCAUGCUGAACUGAAGAGCAUUACUACCUCAGUGUUAAUUAUAAAUGGAAAAAUUAUUGUGACAAGCCACACGGAAAGUUCGAUGAAGAGAAAAGCGCGAAAACCCAGCCGUUCGAUGGACCUUUGCCAUAGAACCUACGGCUGGCAUUCAUUUGUUUCGCGCUCGAAUAAAAAUCACAUAGCCUUGAUAAAGACCGUAGAGUUAUCUACGCUCACCUCCCACUUAAAUGCCUAGCCAGAGUGAUUUCCACGUUGUCCGUCCCAAGUUCAUCACGGGACACAUUCUUUUCCCGGAUCCAUAGAAGCUCAAAGUGCUUGCCAUACCUCUCAGGAUUAAAAAUCCCUGCAGACUCACCCCACCACCUUGGAUCUCGAGCGAUCGACCAGAUGUUAAUCAGCACUCUUGUUUUCGCAGGGAUGGUGAAGCCGUUUACCUCGCAGUCUUGGUGUGAUUCGUGGGGAGCCAUUAGAGGAGCCGGCGGAUGUCUCCUUGACUGCGGCUUUGAGCUAUUUUAGUUUGGAAAGAUCAUCUUCAUUUACUUCUCUACCGGAUUUUUAUGAGCUCCGAGAGUGCCCACUCUGUGCUAAUGGCCGCUGAGUCAGGUCCUCCGGUAAGUACGUCCUGGAAUACAGCCGUUUUACGAUGGCUUAUCGACAGACUCUUUCCUUCUUGCCCUCUGCGAUGUGGAUGCUGCAUACCUUGAUCGCUCCUUCCAUCUUUCAGCGCUCCGGACCGAUAUUCUUACCUUAAACCGCACAAGAUUAGUGGGAAUCUACGUUGUUUAAGCUAACCCAGCCUUUACUUUAGUGCACAUAUAAAUAAGAUCAAGUCCUUUAGGGUCAUACGAGCUAUGGCGAGAGGAAGCAAGAGAAGUAGAGAAGACGAUGGUAUCAUGGUGCUGACAAAGAAGCGUCGACUGAGAAGCGAGAGGGCUUGCAAGCUCACGGCCGAGGAGGUGAGGGAUCAAAACUUGUACGGCGUGUGGGAGCACCACGACCUUCCGGACAACGUGUACCAGUGCCCAAGGUGCCAAUCUUACAACACGCGGUUCGAUUACUACAACAACGAGAAGAGUACUGGCAAGCGUGACCAGCCGCGCUACGCUUGUAGGUCGUGCAAGGGAAAAUGGACACAAGGUGGCAAGGUAAGGGCCGUAUCGCUAUCGCCCAACGGUGGAAAUAAGAGAACUUUAAAGAGCCAUGGGGGAGACAAGAUCACUCCAGUCGUCCAGGAAGAAUUUGUAAGCGAAUCAUCUCAAGUUAUGGGUGAUUGUGUUGCGGGUUUUGAUCAAACUACUUUUUGGGAGCAAGGUCAUGGUCUGGGUGAUUGUGCCCAACCUUUAUCUCACGAGGCCUUUGAUCAAAACAGUUGUUGGGAGCUUCUGCCAGCCUUGGGUCAAGGACCUGUUGGUGAUUGUGUGCAAGAAGUGUUUGCUCAAGCUAGCGAGCUUGGCGAUGGAGUGUUUGCUGAUCAAGUUAGUCAGGAGUUUGUUGGUGGGGUUCAAGGUGGAGAUGUGCAAACCAAUUGCUGGGGGCAACCUCAAGAAUUCAACGAUGUGUUUCUUGAUAUUGAGGGAUUUCUGGCAGACCUGCCAGAAAUACAGACUUGCUGAUUGAUGGAAAUUUUUGUCAAAAGAAUUUAUAGUUGGAUCCCAGGGUUUCCAGAUUUGUUUGAUGAAUAGAAGCCUACAUAGUAUUAUAUUUCAAUCUGUAUGUCAAAUAUAUGAAAAGCCGCAAAGAUAAGAAAAAAUAUAUACUUUUUCUUUCUCCUCUUUCUCAAAAUAGUUAAAGCACAAGCUGUUGGAUUUCUUGGGCAAUUUGUCCUAUGUGAUUCAUUUAUCAUUUUAAAGCACAAGCUCCUGGAUUUCUUGGGCGACUUGUCACUAUGCUCUCAAUCAGGAAAUUCCAGUAUUCUGCACAUUUAAUACAAUAAAAAGUUUUGCAAAAUGUGUUUAAUCUGAACUUGAUGACUAUUUGCAGAUUGUUUGAUUUAUCACUGCUCUGGAAUGGCUGGUGUUAUCUGAAGCCUGUUGCUGUUGACAAGGCUCUGCUUCCAGCUACUCAAAUGUUGGAAUUUGUCACUCAACUCAGUCGAUGCCAGCAGCCUUCAGUGAUCAGGUUUUGGAACUUAAUGGCAUAAAGGCACAAGAGCUGGAUAAAGUGAUUAUACAGGAGUUUGUUGAAGCUUUUGGCAGACAAAUGGUGGUGGAAUCACAACUUUCAGCUUUGACAUUGCCUACAGACCUGUUCAUUCUGCAGUAGUUCAGUGGCCACAUUUUUUUAUCUGCGGGUAUGCAUCAGUGCUGAGCAAUGUUCUCCAUGAACCUUAGCCCCAAUCCAUUGGCCAUUUUUCAGAUUGACAACGGGACCUGUUUUGACUGUUUGUCAGACAUAUGUACAGACAUUUGCCAUUUACCUUAAACAAACAAAAGAAAUUGGUACAAAUUUUUUAAUUAUAUCUAUCUAAACUCACAUUUUUUUCUGGUCUCAAAUUCUGGAACAUAACGAUUAAACUAUAUUUUAGAUAUUAAACGUCAUUCAUUACUUCAGCUUCAUCACUUGUAGUCACUGAGCACCUGCUUCAUAGCGUGAAACUUAGGACGGGAGACAGGCAUGACAACAGGAAAGCGUCCCUUGAACCAGUCCAGAUCUCGACCACCAAACAGCGAUUCCUCACGGUAAUGCAGAAAGUUGUGCUGGAUAAGGCUGAAGAGUGCCUCCUUCCGGAUGACUUGACGUAGAUCGUUGACGCUGCAAACACCACCCUCAGCGUCCGUGAGCCUUUUCAACAGCAACUUGAACUCGUCAGGAGUCCACAGAGGCGAGACGCCCUUCAGCCGAUCUUCGGCAAAGGGGAUCCCCAGCACAGGCCUCGUCCAUUUCUGCGGAAGGUUCUCCGGCUGCAUGCCUUCGGCGAUCUCUGCCCAUGACUUGGCCUGCAUGAAUCGUCGAGCUUUCUCCCAGGCUGCCUGCAUCUCAGCUUCAUCGUUUCUGCACCACGAAAGCUGUCUAGCAAUGUGCUUGAGCGAGUUGAUCCUCCCACCAAAGUAGUCGUAAAUCUCCUUCCACAUCCCGGGUGGUACGUCUCGAUCUUUCAGCAGCCCCUUGAAAAACUUGAAGGACUCUUCCUCCGUAAGAUCACCCACGACUCCAACCAUAUACCUGUCUUUACCGAAAUGAGCCUCCACCCAAAACUUGAAGAAGUCCUCCGACGAGCAAAGGAUCACGUUAGUGAUUCCCAUCUGCUUGGUAACCAUGAUCAGCCAGGCCUGGAGAGUCAUCAAGUUCUCCUCUUCUGAUUCACUAAGGCUCCACUCGUGCAGCCGGUUGGCCUCGUCGAUGAUCAGAGUGGGAUAUCCUCCUUGGCCACGAGAAACGAGCCGAGCAAGCGACGUCCACCCUGCGAACAAGGAUUCCAGCGCCUUCAGAAGUUCUUGCAUGUCCGUCCCUUCGACCUUCUCAAUAGCAUCCAUCGCCUCGAUCAAAUCCUUGAAAAGCUGUUUGAUGAAGCCGGCUCCUGCCUCCUCUUCGUCUGCCUCGUCUGCCUCAUCCUCCGCCUUACCUGACUCCAUGCUAGCCUUCCCCUCUGUAGAGUUCAUCAGCUUCUCCAAGAAUUUCCUGGCGGCGGGCACAAAGUUGUACAAAACCUGCGCCUUCAGCUCCCUCCCAAAGCUGGCCGCCGUGUUGAAAGUGCCGGAGCGCAUGUCAAUGUGAAAAGUAUGGUUGUCCUGGCGCUCUCGAAACAUGAACUCAGCCAGCAGUGCGGACUUGCCUGAAUCUGGAGGCCCCGUAACAAGAACCAUCGAUCCAUCCCGAGCCGAAACCAUAUCCCUGAGACCCUUCAGCUCUUCUGAUCUGUUGAAGAACACCUGCGACGACAACCUGGACGCCCUCCAGAGAUUCCUCCUCGCCAUCGCCAACGAAAAAUCCCAGUUUUAGGGUUUCUAACAGACGGUCGGAAAUGCUAAAAGCCAUUUAUAUCCGACCUUUCCCCUUGUAUAUUCAGAAACAAUUUAUUCUUCAUGUUUUUUCUCGUCUAGAAUUCACGCCUAGAAACUCGCAAAUAAAUCUAAUUUGCCUCUAAAGCUGAUUGAAUUGCCCCCGCAGCCUUGGACAAAUUCGCAACUUUGUCCAUGUAGCUAAUUCAGUUGUAUACCAGAAUAAAAUUAAUUUAAUUUAAUUAUAACCAGGUUAGCUAAAUAACAUGUAGUAAUAAUUUGGAUGUAAACAAUAUCUUGAAUAUAAUAAUAAUUUUAUUGACAAUUAGAAUCAAAAUUACGUUUUAGGCAACACUUUCUUUUUCAUUUGGGUUUUUAGUGUCUUUCACUUUCCUUUCAGCUACUCUGUUGGGAUUUAUAGGAAAUCUUUUUCAAAUAUGCAUAUGGUGAGUUUUAUUUAUGUUUUUAAAAAGGUUUUUGGUUUUAAAAUCAGAAAAACAUAUAGGAGCUAUUGCAGGGUAAAUUGUGAUAUUAUUACUGGUCUUUUUUUAUUUUAUUUUUCAUCCUACGUCUUUAGUUUUAAACUUUGCCUAUCUCUUUCAACAUAGAUUUUGUGGUGAGCAUCCUCUCUUUAUUAAAAUUAUGAAGCAUACGAUGACUAUUAGCUCAGAUUUAUUUGAUCAAUGACUGAGAUUCAAUAUCUUAUCUUUCAUAAUCAGCUCAUAUUUUAUCUUCCAUAAUCAGUUCAUCCUAAUCCAAAGCUAAGUAAACAACCAUAUUGAUAUUUUGAAGUUUUUCUAUUUUAUUUUGCUAACAACACUAAAUUGAUGAAGUUAUUGAAUAUUGAUUUUGAAUAUUUUCAGGUCUGGAGUUUCUCCUGUACGAGAUCUCUCUUCCACUAUUUCCGUCACCUGCAGUAUUUUUUAGGUUUAAAGUUGAAGAAUUAUUAUGAGGAUAUUGUUUUCAGUUACCAUCACCACCAAUUUAUUAUCGCCACGUCUUUUUACAUCUACGAAGCUUAUCUUUUGAUAGCAGCAUCAUGCUUCUUAUCUUUUGGCAUUACUUUUAAUUCUAAUGUUUUAAUCUCAGCAGUUUCCUCUUGACUUUAUAUGUUUUUGAUUUUUUUAAUCAAGCACUUUUCUGAGUCGGAGGCCCAAGUUAAAUUCGAAUUUGUUUGUGUCUAAACAAAAACCAUGCACGAAUUGUUUCCUCCUCGACUUUUGUUUUGUGCUCAUUGAGCUAUAUGCUUUAAAUGCUGUAUUUAAAUUCCUAGCUGAGAUAUCAGUAUAAUCCAACUCACUCUACCAACUGCUGUUUCAUUCAAGUUGAAAGAAGUAACAUUUUUCCUGUACAAAGUGGUUGAUUGUUCAUCUUGCUUUGUGAGGAGCCAAUUCUGUGUAUUCUUAAUGAGGCAAUUUGCAUCAUGGCACUGAAAUUUCCAAUCUGAUAGCGUUCAGCUACAAGAGCUGCACUUCCUAAACUCUACCCAAAAGACUUUAAUAGGCUGGUAGUGAGGUUUUAGUAGUAAUUAUUAGUUUUGCCAGGUGGCAUAAAAUUGCCAUGUCAUAAGUAGUUAUAUCUACUUGGAACAUCUUAACAAGAUCUACGAUUCCGUUGUAACACCAAUCACGUUCCCUGCUUUAACACACGCUCGUGGACACUCUGGUCACACACGAACUUUAACAACUUAUCGUGUGAUACUACAUCCUCACAUUACAUGCAUCCUAUGUUAUGCAUUUAUUUAUUCUCCACUUAACCACUAGGAAAAGAACCAAUUAGUUAUGAGAAUUCCCUCUGUGUUGUACAAGAUAUAUGAUUCCAUAGUAUUGAAUGCAAACGAUACUGUUGGCCCAAUGUACAUAGACACACAGAGGCAUUGAUGCGUAGGUAAAUUGUUUUCUUUUCCUCGGGAUUUCUUCUUGGCGUUUUGUUGAUCUAAUUCAAGUUCUGAGACUGUAACGCACUUAUUUAUUCUCCCCUUAACCAUCAGGGAAAAGGACCAAUUGGUUAUAAGAAUUCCCUCUGUGCUACACAAGAUCUACGAUUUUGUAACAUCCACCACGACACUCUGGUCACACACGAAUCACGUGAUUCGUGUGUGACCAGAAUCAUGUCCCUUGACAUCCUAUCGUGUAGACUAUGUGCCCAUACACAUUCCAUGCAUGCCCAUGUAUCAUGGUGGGGUAAGCCAUGUAUACAUCUCACACUCAGUGUAUGACUAUUGCAUAUCGGGGGCUGAAGCCAGCGGACUUCCGGAGGUGUGUGGAGCCCAUCACCGCUCCCAUACUCCCAUCAGGAAAAGGGCCAAUUGGUUAUGAGAAUUCCCUCUGUACGGCAUAAGAUCUACAAUUCCGAUGUAACAUCCACCACGAUUCCCUGCAGGAUGAGAAUUUCCUGUGCCUGAUGGUUAAGGCCAAUUGGCUAUGAGAAUUCCCUCUGUGUUGUGUUGCCGAUUCCGACCUAACAGAGACUUUUGGACGAACUUAACUAUUGUAAAUUUAUAUAACUACUGUAUUUAAAAAUUCAUUAAUCAAAAAUGUAUUUCAGUAAUUGCAGGCAGCAAUAAAGGGAAACGUUUUUUUAUAUGAGGUAACAUUUCCUUUUAUAUGCACAAUUUCAGAAAGAACAUGAUACUAAAAAGCACAAUGCAAAAAAUACAAAGUGAUUAGGGACCAAAAAUGGAUAACACCCCUGCAUGUUCUUUACCUGAAAGUACGUUAGGAAAUAACAUUCAAGCCCCAUUUGGCACCCCUAACGUUGGAGUCGCAUGCAUUCUCCUAUUACUCUCAAAGUUACCAGAUGAAUCGGUGAGAUAAGUUUUCAGUGGUACAGAGCCAAAUGUGAACAUCUGCUGGACAAGGAAACGAAAGAUGAUCAAUUAAUUGGCAAGGAACAAGCUUGCCUCGCAGUCGAAACACUUUCGAAUGAGCCCUUGUCCCCGGGUUCGUAUGGCGUUCAUCUCAGGCCAGCUUGUGAGUUACUUCUCAAUCAUACUAGCCAGGAGCUCGAGUUUAAAUAAAGUGUUGGAGCCUUUCCCCUCUUUUGAAGAUUGCUACGACUUUGUUGAGCUUCCAUUAAACUUGUGGAGUCCAUCUCUUAAAGCGACAGUUGAAGGAAAUCCUGAAGGAAGUCAGUGUCGGCAGCAUAGAGUAUCUCGGUUGUAACUUGAUAGUUCAAAGGAGUAUAGAGAUUUACGUCGCUUGAGUUGUUGAAGUGCCGCCUUAGUCUUUUCUUGAUUCAGUGGUAGUGGUGCUGUUUGCUGGUCAUAUAGUUUGCUCAGAUAGCUGUGCUAGCUCUCAACUUCUUAGAUUCACCGGGGGUGUCUAUUUCUUGAAGAUACUGUAGGGAUGAUCCAGGUGGUAUUUCAUGUCUUUCGCCAGUUGGAGGUUCGUUUGCAAUUCAUACUGUCUGCAUUUUGCCUUGACCACUUUGGAGAAGUUUUCUGCCUGUGGUUAAUGUUUUAGGGCAUGUUUGAGUUGCUUUUGCAGUGUAUCAUAUUCCUUGUCCCAUCAUUCUUUACAUGGUAAGCCGUAUGCCUCGCUAGGUCGUCGUUUUCCACAGACUUUAAUGGCUUUGUUGCAGAGAAUUUAGUCGAGGAGUAUAGCAGUGGUUGGUGUGUGGCUUCAGCAAUCCAUGUAUAUUGUAUGUUAUCUCUGUACUCUGUAACGCUCUUCUUUGGCCGCAAACAUUUUGAACGCAAUGGGAGUGUCUGUCGCAAAUCCGCAUGUGUGGAUCCUUAGUGAGAAGUGUGCUAGAAUGAACUCAUUUGUGCUCUUGCCUCCAUUAUAGGUGAAACAUGUGUGCGAGGAGUUCUGUUCAAGAUGAUUAGCCGCACAGCUGUGCAGAAGGCCAGGAACUUUGAGCCACUGUUUUUGUCUACUAGCAACGUGUCUUGUGCAGUGAUCUAUUCCCAUUCGAAAUCAUACCCAUGAAUUUUCUCUCAGCCAAGGCUGCCGGUGAGACAAAGCGCUUGUUAGUCCCCUGUUUGUGCAUUGAAGUCUCCAGGUGGGAUUAAGUAGCAGCAUACUAUCACAAUGUCAUCUUCCUGUUUUCCUCGGAGUUUUAGCAUGAGGAAUUGUUUGUAAACGGCGGAAGUUUUGUGAGAUCCGUAUACAGGAAGUAAUGCCCCCAAAUCCGCAUGAUCUGCCAGGAGUGGUCGGAUGCCAUGUGGAGAAUAGUUGAUAUGGAAGUCGUUGUUCUAUGCCCUGUUAUGCAUAGUCUAAGGUUAAACUCUGUGAAUUCUGAUAUCCCGAGCCCUGACUUCCAGGGGAAGUCUUCAAUCUUCCAGUUGAGGACGUGGAUGUAGGAGCCGGCCGCAGCUGAUUUUGAACAGCGAUUCCUGGUCAUACCUUUGAAGUUCAAUAGUAUCACUUGAUAUGCUUUGUUAUAUGUACAGUUAUCUUUAUAUUUGGCCGUUGCAUAUUAAUGUUGCUCAGCAAAUGAAGUUGAAAAGUGAGAGGCCGGUUUCUUGCGUGGGAGGAGCUACGGGCGGCUGGAGAAGAAAGUCAGAUGCGCCCGUGAACUUUGUCUGCACUCACUUGGGGUGAUGUCGUGUUCGGGAGGAGGUUGUGUGUUAACUUGGGGUGAGCCCCUCUCCGCUGGUGCCUGCAAAUUCCUAUGAACAACCCUAGGCUAUGAACUCACCAUAGAGGAACUGAGAGGCUCUGAACCUGAGCUCGGUGCCCGAGAACUUCAGCAAUUGUCCACAAUUUAUAAAUACAAACCAACAAUAGAAAAGACAUAAGAACCUCAGGCAUCCCCAACAAUGAACAAUUGAAGAGCAAACAUGCAGAGCCAGGCUCCACAUGUCUCCUCUCUAAUUUGUUCAAAGUCGUCCUACACUACUCAAUCACCAGCUCAAAUCUCAACCAAGCCAAAGCCAGGUGCAGGAUAUGGAUCCGUGUACAAUCUCAAAGCCUCUCCAAAAGAAUGAUCCUCGUUGCCCAGAUGAACAGACUCUAAAACCUCCAUAGUACCGCACUCAGAGCUCCUCUCCAGCUUCUCUACGAGCUCCUCCACAGCUCCUUUGCGGCUCCUCUACAGCUUCUCUCCUCAGUGUCACAGAGCACAUAUAUAGAAUGACAUCGUCUGAAGGUUAGUCCCACAAAGUCAUUCUCGUACGCUAGUGGAUCGCCGAAACCAGCUGGCGGGCUUGGAAUUUAGUCACCUAAAGUCAUAAUAGGGAUGGCUCUUGUACCAUUACCAGAAUACCAAAUGCUGUCUGAUGGCCUUUCAUUGCAUUUCUUGAACUUUGAUAUCAACACCCUGAAUAGUAGUUAGCUUAACUAGUGAACAAGUGGUGCAUUACUGAACAUCAAUGAUAGCUAUGCAUAAUGGGUGCCCAGGUCUGGUGAGGAAAAGGUGAAGAGUGUUAAAGCUUAACAUUAAGCCUGAAGCUUUAAAGCAAAUCCUAAUUUAUGAUCUUAAAAAAUUGUUUUAGGUUAGGAUCUUAUUUGAAUCGAUUUUACUUUAUUCUUAAGUGUUUUAGUUGGCUUAGAGAAAGUGCAAAACAUAAUGCCAUCUUAACUUAAAAUAAGUUAAGAUGGGCUAAGAUUCAGUGAGAAUGGGCUCACUAUCAGAACUCUGCAUAGUGACAUCCUAGCAAUGUGAACCAAUCAUCUGACACAGGAGUCAAGAAAUGUUGUCCACCAACUCUCUUCGGCAUUUACAUCGACACUAUGGAAGGAAAACAACUAUCAGAGAUUCAGGUAGCAGGUAUGUAUCUCUACCUCAUGUUGUACGCUGACGAUCUGUUACUCCUUGCAUAACAUAUGCAAUACCAGCUUGACGUAAGAGUGAGAUGGUAUUACUUCGACAAACAAAGAAGCAAGCCACCAGAUCCGAUCAAAGUCUUCUAUUGUGGAACACUGAGAGUACAACAAUACAAGUACCCUGGAUACAGCGUCCAUGAACGUGCCCCCUGGCAUGCUGGAGCAGAUGAUCGUUUUCGUGGCAACCACAACAUCAGCCAUUAGGGAAUGAAGCGCGAAAUGCCCCAUGCGUUGUAUAUGGUUUUUUUCUACAAGCUUGACGCAAAAAGCAACCCUUUCGGAAGUGCGAGUUUUGCACAGAAGAUAGUCUGCCCGUGUUAAGUCCCCACCAUAAAUCAAAUAAAUAAACCAUACAGAGAAAUUUUGAUUUAAAAAACAUAUAUAUCUAUAUAUAUCUAUAUUCAAUUUACUAUUUUCAAUUUAACCACUAGUUAAUCCACAAACCCCAGACACGAUCAACCUCAUUACCUUUUUCACAUUGGCUUGACAGCUCCAACCUCUGAAAACCUUCAUCAAGCAGGGGAGCAGUGAUGGUCAUAACACACCGCAUUUCGUCUCCGGCUGCGAAUCAUCAGCAGUAAGUUACCUUCGAGGCUUCAACGUCUGAUGGCGCGGUAGCUUCUUCUACCACUGGGAGGAGGAAGAGCUGGAGAAGGCAAUGAGUUUGCUUGCGCUGCAGACGAAACGGGCUUACCACCAGCAGCAGGCGACAGUGUUGAGAGGUGCUGGAGUUGCUCAACCAGCUGCAAGGCCUCUCAAGAAAAUCAGCAACAAAAGAAAAUCACACCCCAAUUGUUUCUACUCACAAUUGAAGCAUACGAUUUCUUCCUUUGCGUGUCAUCAGCGUCCACAGCCUCAUCCAUUUCCAAUGUCGCAUUGCUCCCUCACUCAACAUCUCUUCUUCCUCCGCCUCCUCCUGAGGCAUUUCAUACUCGUCCUCUAUUUGCUCUUCAGCGAGAACACUGUCGUUACUUCACGGUGAGGAGCUUCAGGGACUGUAAAACAAACUAAGAAUGCGGCAGCAGCAGCAGUAGCAGUUCGACCAAACAAACAGCAGCAGCAGUUCAAGCACACAACAGUUCGACCAAACAAACAGCAGCUCCGACCAAACAAACAAAGCAGGAAAAACAAAGAAGACUGGCCGGUUCUACCAAGCAAAGCUUCAAUGUGGACUAGAGAUUGUUGAGCAAGUAGCCGCUUAUGGUGCUCUGAAGCGCUUUCGUUGAGCCGGGACGCACACGCAACCCUCGUGAAGAGGCGGUGGAAGGAUCAAGGAGUAGCUGAUCAAAUCCUGCCUAACCUAAGAUCCUGCGGAUUAAACCUUAAAUAUUUAACAGUAAACAAAAAUAAGCUUGGGUUAGUGGACUUGGCCAAAACCCUUUAAGAAAUACAUAUUGAUUUAGUUUUGAGCGAAUGCAAAUAAAUUUAGCAUCACAAAAAAAGGUAAAGUCUCUCAUCAUUUUCUUUCUAGUUAAGGGGAAAUAAAUAACACUUUCAUGACCUAAGACCUGUCAGUGAAUGCAGGGAAUACACAGCUAAUUGGUUGCCACGGACAGGCUAUCUCAAAAUCAGGCCACACUCUUUCUCUGACACAGGUGAACACACUAUUUGCCUCUUGCUGUUAUCCUCUCACCUCCUGUGUGUUUCAGAUACUGCUGCCACUGCAACCAUAGAACAGUUCUUCAGCCAAGCCAGUGUCUCCACUGAACUGUCAACUCCUCUAUUCUUACUUGUAAGAUUUCUCGUCGUCGUGAACUGGCACUACGAUGGCGUACGAGAUCAUUUUCUUCAUCCGAUCCUUGUUCUGGAGGCUACACACACGCACAAACAAACAAUGGUCACUCGCUCACUCCACCACAAGAAAAGAGAAAAUCGAAACGAGAAUCGAAGAAAGAGAGCUCACAAUUUCAUGAGAUCUUGGUUGCGGUAGCAGCUCUGGAGCACAUCAUCCUCGUUGAGAAUCUCCUCGAGACUGCACUCUUCGCUUUCGAGCAUGUUUGGCAGCUGAUAGGAGGAAUAGGAAGCUUAGCGCAAGGGAAUGCAAGAAGGAACACCUACAUUCGAGCCCCAGAAGGAGCCGGCCAUGGCGCAGACGAGAUUCUAGCUCCCAAUCAUCGACGAGCCUCUUCCCGGGACAAAACCCUAGCUAGAUCCCACCUCAAAAUGCGCGCCUCGAUCGUGACAAGAAGAGGAUGAGCAAGCCCGGAAGAGAUUCUACCGCGCUGGAGCGUGGAUUGGAAGCAAGAAAGGCGGCCUUGGGCCGAAAAGGAAGAAAGCUUUGGAACUAGGCCUAAGAAGAGAAAUUUUGGAACGGCCGCCUUGUAAACAACACCUAUAGUUAUAACAAUAGGGCGGCGGUGGUGAAGGUGGUGGCGGUGAUGGUGGCGGAGGUGGUGAUGGUGGAGGAGGUGAGGGUGGAGAUGUGGUGGUGAUGGUGACGAGGCAGUGAUGGUGACAAGGGUGGUGACAAGUUCUACUGUUCUACCUUGUUGGGUGGCACAAACAAGACCACAAAGAAGAUGAGUAUUCAUUUUAUAGGUGGAUCUAAUGGUUAUAGAAAAAUAGAAAAAAUGAUAUAAAGGUAAUAGAGCAUACGUUAAAUUGAUAUAAAAGUCAUCUUUAGGCUGAGACUUUUACGCACGAGUUUCUUGCGAGCGAGUCUUGUUCACAGAUAGGGAGAGAGUUUGGUUGGGGGGGCACAUCUCUUGAAAAAAUAUAUAUUGCAGGUGUCCUCAGAUUGCUCAACGAGACUAAAAAACCCUGCGCGAGACCAUGAGAUGGCCACGAGGCAGCAGUAUAUACUUAGUGGCGCUUCGUGGGAGAGACACGAAAGUCGAAGCACAGAGACGGUGAGGACGGUGAGAGAGAGAGGGGGGGGGGGGGGGCCAAGCUUUGGAACUUGGAGGGAUAGACCAAGAGCUUGUAGCAAGUUAUCGUUCUAGGGGAAUUGCCACCAUAUAGGUCCCGGCUUGCGCAGCUCUGGGGGAUUCUGGAGCAUGGUGCGCCCUAGCACUCUGCUCAUCCUCUGCUGUGUGGGCUUCCUUCUCUUCCCGAUUUUCCAGAGUGUCAAUGGAGCUCUAGAACUCAUAGACUGCGCACUCAACGAGCAACGCUGCUGUGCGUUCCCAACAGGUUUGGUUCUCUGGCAAUGCUGGGCAAGGAUUAGCUACUGGGGAGGCUGCGCUGCACCACCACCACCACGACGUCCUCCAUCGCCAUCACCACCACCAGCACGGUCCCCACCUCCACCAUCACCCCCACCACUGUCACCACCCCCAACACAGUCCCCACCUCCGCCAUCACCUCCGCCACCAUCUCCACCACCUCCAACACCGUCCCCACCUCCGCCUUCACCUCCUCCGCCAUCACCCCCACCACCAUCUCCACCACCUCCAACACCGUCCCCACCUCCGCCUUCACCUCCUCCGCCAUCACCCCCACCACCAUCUCCACCACCUCCAACACCAUCCCCACCUCCACCAUCACCUCCACCACCGUCACCACCCCCACCUUCCCCUCCGCCACCAUCACCGCCUCCUCCUCCUUCUCCACCGCCACCAUCACCCCCGCCACCGUCGCCUCCGCCGCCAUCUCCACCUCCUCCUCCUUCUCCGCCGCCACCAUCACCCCCGCCACCGUCCCCUCCGCCGCCAUCUCCACCACCUCCGCCUUCAUCGCAUUCCCGUCGUGUCUCCAUUUCUAUGAUUGCAGUGACUAUUAUAACAUCUCUCUGUUAUUAGAUGGCUCAUUGGAGCUCCAAUUUGUAUAGCUGAGAGGUUUCCGUUUCGAGUUGUGAGUCUUUCCUUUGGAAUGGAAAUUUAUGCACAGGGCCACAGUGAAUGCUCUCGCGAGGCUCGUCCAAAAUUGCAAGAACUUGGAGGAGGGCCGAUGCCUCCACGCCGGGAUCAAGCGCACCGAUCUCUCCCGCGACUCUUACCUCAACAAUCUCUUGAUCGCGAUGUAUGGCCGCCAUGGCAGCCCCGCGGACGCUCGCGACGUCUUCGACAAGCUUGGAGCUUCCACCACUAUCUUCAGCUGGAACUUGCUCAUCACAGCCUUCGUUUCCAGCGGAAAGACCCAAGAUGCCGCGGCUGCUUUCUCGCGGAUGCCACAGCACGACGUUGUCUCGUGGAAUGCGGUUCUCUCGGCUUACACCCGAUCGGGAAGAACCCCAAUGGCUCGCCAACUUUUCGAUUCCAUGCCACAGAGGAGCGUUGUGUCGUGGACAACGAUGAUCACAGCAUAUACCGAGUCUAGGCAUCUUGCCAAUGCAAAGGGUUCCUUCUACAAGAUGCCUCAGCAUAACAAGGUUACGUUUUGCGUAAUGUUGCAAGCUCUCACGCAACACGCUGGGUCUAGUCAAGCUAAAGUCUUGUUUGAUGGCAUGCAAGAACGAGAUAAUACAAUCUGGAACACCGUUCUCAACGCAUAUGCCUUGGAAGAAAGCCUUGAGCUUGCGGAAGAGAUCCUUGCAAAGAUGCCUCUACAGUGUAAGUUUUCAUGGACAAUUAUGCUCUUGGCAUAUGCCCGCGCCAGCUUACUCGACAAAGCGAAACAACUGUUUGAUGUCAUGGCCGAGAGAGACGUGGUUUCAUGGAACGCAUUGAUUCAGGCAAGUGCCGAGAGUGGGCUUCUGGAGAAAGUUGUGAUACUCUUUGAUCGGGUGCCGCAAUGCAACAUGUCGUCAUGCAACUCGACGCUCGUAGCUUACGUCCAGUGCGGGUAUCUUGAUCAAGCACACAAACUCUUCGCGAGGAUCCCCGAUAGAGAUUUAGCGUCCUGGAGCAUCAUGAUCCUCGGGUGUGCUGGAAACCGGCAGGAGCGACUGGCACUGGAGCACUUCGGUGAGAUGCUGCUCGAGGGGAUCAAGUGCGACGAGAUCACGAUGCUGGGGGUCUUGUCAGCGUGCAAUCACUUGGGCCUAAUCCAGGAAGGAGUGAGCUACUUUGUGAUGAUGGUGGCAGAGCUCGGGAUUGAUCCGUUCGUGGAGCACUUCAGCAGCCUAGUGGAUCUUCUCGCGAGAGUGGGGCAGCUGAGAGAAGCUCACGACUUGCUGAGAAACAUGCCGUUCGUGCCGGAUCCAGCGGCGUGCUGCUCCAUGCUGGGCGCUUGCAGGACUCACGGUGAUGUGGAGCUGGGAGCUUACACGGCUGCAAACGAGGAGUUUGGGAUCGAGCCACACCAUCCAUCGCCAUAUCUCUUCCUCUCGAGCAUGAAGCACUGAGAUAGAUUCCACAAGCUUAGUAACUGGGAUAACAAAUUUAGUACCUUAAACCUUAAACGUAAGAAAAUCGAAGCUCUUGGCUCCAGGGAGUUGAUACUUUGAAGUGCAACAUCACACAAGUCUGCCAACUCUUGGAAGUGAAGCCUGGCUCCAAGUACGAGUGGAAGUAUUACACGACAAAAGAAGAGUUCUCACCUGUACAACUAUCUUGUACGAGGUUCUUCUUUGCCAUGUAUUGUUUUGAUGAUAUCCUGGACUUGGAGAAAGCCAAACCAUUCUUUUCCUUUGAUCGAGAAAUCUAGCUCCAUAUCCAGGGCAGCUUCUUUAAUACACCGCAGCAGCAUUGGUGAAUGCCAAGUUCUUGGAGACCUGGAUGGAAGCGAAGGUAUGGAGAGGAGCUGUGGAUGCAACACGGCAGUGUCGAGAGCCUUUGUGUCUCUUCUCAAGUGGUGCAUACAAGAGAAUAAUUUACACAAGUUCGUUGCGUGCACAGUUUUGUUUCCGCGAGGCAUCCUAGCUGCGCUGAAGACCAGUUCGUGGGAAACACGAUACUACAGGCAUAUGAUCUAGCACAUAAGGUGUUUGUGGGCAUUUGGAACAAAGAUCUAUUCUCGUGGCCGCAGCUUCUGUGCAGAAUGGACAGUUUGCUGAGGCGUUAUUGUUGUUUACACGGAUCGAGUAAAGUAACUUGCAUCACUGUUGCUUUUUUCUGCUUGUUCUUGCUUGCUUUGGUGAGAAAGAUGUUCCAAAAGAAAUUGCCACUCACAGACUGAUCGAAGAGAGUGAGCUUGCUUCCAACGAACCCUUGUGCCACUUGCUCCUGAACACCGAGCUUGGGAGACUAGAGGGUGUUUGGGAAAUUUUUGAAAAGAUGGCAAGCAAGAACGUGAUCUCUUGGAUGUC
rnacentral:lncRNA from 1 species